rnacentral:tRNA from 1 species
GACGCCAAAGGUGGCCGUCUACGGACUUUUAAUCCGCAGGUCCCAGGUUCGAGCCCUGGUGGGGGCACCA